GAGAAGAACGCAGCGAAAUGCGAUAAGUAGUGUGAAUUGCAGAAUUCAGUGAAUCAUCGAAUCUUUGAACGCACAUUGCGCCCCUUGGUAUUCCAUGGGGCAUGCCUGUUCGAGCGUCAUUUGUACCUUCAAGCUUUGCUUGGUGUUGGGUGUUUGUCCAUUCUCUUGCAGAGGGACUCGCCUUAAAGUAAUUGGCAGCCAGUGUUUUGGUUUUGAAGCGCAGCACAAGUCGCGAUUCAACGCUAUACGCCAGCUUCCACAAGCCUUUUUCACUUUUGACCUCGGAUCAGGUAGGGAUACCCGCUGAACUUAAGCAUAUCAAUAAGCGGAGGA
rnacentral:misc_RNA from 1 species